rnacentral:rRNA from 1 species
UAGGGAAUCUUCCGCAAUGGACGCAAGUCUGACGGAGCAACGCCGCGUGAGUGAAGAAGGAUUUCGGUUCGUAAAACUCUGUUGUUAGAGAAGAACAGCGCAUAGAGUAACUGUUAUGCGUGUGACGGUAUCUAACCAGAAAGCCACGGCUAACUACGUGCCAGCAGCCGCGGUAAUACGUAGGUGGCAAGCGUUGUCCGGAUUUAUUGGGCGUAAAGCGAGCGCAGGCGGUCAAUUAAGUCUGAUGUGAAAGCCCCCGGCUCAACCGUGGAGGGUCAUUGGAAACUGGAAAACUUGAGUGCAGAAGAGGAAAGUGGAAUUCCAUGUGUAACGGUGAAAUGCGCAGAGAUAUGGAGGAACACCAGUGGCGAAGGCGACUUUCUGGUCUGUAACUGACGCUGAUGUGCGAAAGCGUGGGGAUCAAACAGG